rnacentral:rRNA from 1 species
UAGAAUACGCUUAGCCUAAAGAUUAAGCCAUGCAUGUGUCGUGUAAACUUUUAUACGGUGGGACUGCGAAUGGCUCAUUAAAUCAGUUAUAGUUUAUUUGAUUGUAUAUUUUUUUACUACUUGGAUAACUGUAGUAAUUCUAGAGCUAAUACAUGCGAAAAAACCCAACUUUUGUGGGAGGGUUGUAUUUAUUAGAUGAAAAACCAAUACUGGGCAACCAGUUAAAACCUAUGGUGAUUCAUAAUAACUUCUCGAAUCAUAUGGCCUUGUGCCGAUG